rnacentral:rRNA from 1 species
AGUGAACGCUGGCGGUAGGCCUAACACAUACAAGUCGAACGGCAGCACAGUAAGAGCUUGCUCUUACGGGUGGCGAGUGGCGGACGGGUGAGGAAUACAUCGGAAUCUACUUUUUCGUGGGGGAUAACGUAGGGAAACUUACGCUAAUACCGCAUACGACCUACGGGUGAAAGCAGGGGAUCUUCGGACCUUGCGCGAUUGAAUGAGCCGAUGUCGGAUUAGCUAGUUGGCGGGGUAAAGGCCCACCAAGGCGACGAUCCGUAGCUGGUCUGAGAGGAUGAUCAGCCACACUGGAACUGAGGCACGGUCCAGACUCCUACGGGAGGCAGCAGUGGGGAAUAUUGGACAAUGGGCGCAAGCCUGAUCCAGCCAUACCGCGUGGGUGAAGAAGGCCUUCGGGUUGUAAAGCCCUUUUGUUGGGAAAGAAAAGCAGCAGGUUAAUACCCCGCUGUUCUGACGGUACCCAAAGAAUAAGCACCGGCUAACUUCGUG